UGAGUUCGCCAGCUGCCCAAGACACUCCUCAACCACUUGGGCCAUCCCUUCCCAACUUUGUUGUUAUUGGACGCGAGCCUGUUCAACUGACAUGUCCUCAAUGCCAACAGGUGGUUAAGAGCAAAGUAAAACAUGAAGUGGGCGUGGGGACAUAUUUGAUUGCUGCUGCAAUAGCCUUCGUUACUGGUUGUCUAUGUUGCUGGAUUGCAUGUGUGACAAAUGCAUGUAAAGAUGUGGUUCACUCUUGCCCAUCAUGUAAAUACGUCAUCUGCAGAAGACUCUUCAUGUAGGGGGCUGUGAUAAAUCUUCUCAAACAGUUUUUAUCAAUAUCACGGCAUUCAUACCAAUCGAAGUGAAAAUGAGAUUUUCCUUGAUGAUUAGCAUAAUCAGUAUUCAACAACCUGAACAGACCAUCGACACAAGGCAAAACAGUUCACAAUGUAAAGUUCUUCAAAGUUCUUUAUUCUGAAAGAUCUUCACCUGAGGGAUAAUUGCUUAAGGUUGACAUUCCAUUCAUUUUACAUGAAGUAGAAUACAGAACUUAUGGAAACUAGAAAGUGGUGUAUAUUUUAUUGAUUUUGACUUUGCUUUCAUAACUGCAUGGGUUUUCAGUUAAUGAUGUAUUAUGUAUUUAUUUAUUGGUAUAGCUGUUGUUGUAUUGUUUUUAUUUCAUAUUAUAUUGCUGAUUAAUCAAUGUACUAAUUGACUUCUUAUGUCGAACGAACGUUUUUAUCAUAAUUUUUACGGUUAUAAUUUAUCAUUAAAAUUGUGUUAAAUUUAUUUGUUAUUGAAAUUUUAUAAUGUUUGACACUUUAUUAUUGUUCAUUUUAUGUGCUGCUGUAUUUUGUUU